rnacentral:lncRNA from 10 species
UUCUGCACUUUCGUAACAGCCUUUUUGGAGCCCUUCUUGGGAGCAGGAGCGGAUUUCGCUGGAUCCGGCAUUUUUGCGCGAAAAAAGAGAACAGAGACUUAAAGAAGUAAUCCGAACUACCGCAAAACGGGCUGGUUAUGCGCUACUUAUAGAGCCUGUAUGCAAAUGAAGACUCGCAAAGUGCUGCGCUUUAAUUGGUUAACUUACAACGGUGUCGUCAGAGGGGGUGGAGUCUAUGUAAAUAAUAGAUUCUAGUCUUGCUUCCUUAAUGGUCACUGUAACAAAAGUCUUGUUAUCCAAUCAGAAUGGUCCAUUUCACACUAACCAGUUUUAAGCUAGGUGAAGCGAUAGUUUCAACGGCUUGAGGUUUUUUUCUUGGUUUUCACUUUCCAUUAGACUUGCAUACGGAAGAAAUCUUAACGCCAGCUAGACAAGUUAACUCUCUUGCCUCGUUUUUGCAUUUUUAUUCUAUACUUUGUGGAAAUUUUUUUCUCUUCCUUGAAAUACUACCUCACCCACACAUUUUUAAAAAUCGCCAGAUAUUUACUCCCGCCCGCUUAAAUUACUAUUCUGGCUUGGACACCGCCUGUAGUAUGCAAUGAGGAAGAUGCUGAGCUUUAAUUAAGCUUAUAGUUCCUAAAUAAACCAGGAAACGAGUUUAUAAUUUUUAAGGGACUCGCCCCACCCUUACACUCAGGAUCUUCCACAUCUAGAAACUCCCCAUAGUCUCUUGCCCCCAUGCAAAACUUUACCCACAGAAUUGGGAGCCGGACCUCUAGCCUUAAACCAGCGUGAAAAGGCUCGGCCGGAACCACAAGGACCAUGCCUCUGCGGCUUUCUCUACUGCCGGCCAACUCACGGCUGGGCUUUGGGUUCUGUAACGUCACCCACCACGAGUGCCCCUGGCCCCUGACCGCUGCGCAAGGCAGACGCACAUCAGAUGGAGAGCCGGUACAGCUGCUCUUGAUGAAAACGGCAGUGGCUCUGAAAAGAGCCUUUAGAUCGACCACUUAAAAAUAUACCUUAGGCCCGCUCCCCGCGGAUGCGGCUGACCAACUGGAUGUCCUUGGGCAUGAUGGUCACGCGCUUGGCAUGGAUGGCGCACAGAUAAGAAAACUGAGUCUCAGAGAAAUUAUGGCUUGUCCUGGGUGCCUAGAGGAGGUCUCUCAUAGAUGCCCACGUUCUCUUGACAAGAUAUUUGGGGAGGACCCCUGGCUACUGUCACUGCUGCCAUGCCUGCCAGGAGGAGGCACCUUCCUGACACUUCACUGCUGCUGCUCAGCAGGCCUGCCAAGUGGUUCUGCUGUGUUCUAGGAGAAACAGGAAAAAUGCCUCUCCUCCCACUUUGCACUGUGCUUUGUCACCUGGGCCCUAAAACACCAUUGCCUGCCCCUGACGCCCCAACAGCUCCCUCUACCAAACUGAGGCUGGGCUGGGAGACUAGGCACUACACCAUUCCAUUCUCCCUUCUCUUCUUCCAUUCUCCCUUCCCUCCCUCUCUUCUUCCCACUGCCUCCAAGACACCUGUACUGGAACUUUGUCCAUUCUUACACUCACACACACACACAUGCACAUGCAUAUGUGUACACACAAAAGUCUCUUGUCCAUCAGAUCAUACAAAUAUAUGCUUGGGACAGGGGUGAUCACAUGCCCCACAUGCCCAGUGGACAUUUAGGCUCAGAUAGGACAAUUCUUUCACAAGGAUGACAAAACCUACCUUCCGUGGUUGCUGUGAGAACAAGAAAUUGUACAUACAGUGCCCAUUCUACAGCAAACCCAACAAUGAUUUAAAAUCCACAAUAGGCCGUGCGGUGGCUCACGCCUGUAAUCCCAGUACUUUGGGGGGCUGAGGCGGGCGGAUCACGAGAUCAGGAGAUCGAGACCAUCCUGGCUAACACGGUGAAACCCCGUCUCUAUUAAAAAUAUAAAAAAUUAGCCAGGCAUGGUGGCAGGCGCCU